GCCACAUAACUGACCCGGCCAGACAACCAGAAGUCCAGAACAAGAGAACCCCCAAGACCCGACCUCUUGGUGCCCGACCCUGCCCCUCUGCUUCCCGACCCUGAGAACAAAGUUCAUCUUCUUCGAAACACUCUCUGUUGGAGGUAGCCAUUGUCGCCGGAAACUUCAACACGGGUUGAACAACUAGAUGCAUGGAUCUGAAGCCUGGAGAAUUCCUUCGUCGUUGUUGUUGUCAGCCUGAAUCUGCCGGGAUUCAACUUGGGUUCUCCGUUAUCGCAAUUCGUCUUAAACCCCAGAUGAUGACGCCCCUGGUGAUGGAACCGCGUUGAAGCUCCUGCAGGGACUUUCGCGUUCUCAGCGCCGGAUGUCCUCUGCCUCGCAAUCGAUUGCACAUCUAUGGGUUUGACAGCACUCCCUCUUCUUUCCACACUCCGUGGUUCGAAUUUAUGCUAGCUGAUGUCUGAGGUUGGUCGAUGGACCUCGGUAGAUCUCAGCUGCACUCCCCCUUCAGCUAGUUGCUUGUCCUGAAUCUCCAUUUCCGUCCUCUCAGGAGGGUCAAAUAUCCACUGCCUCCUUAGUUCAUUCCCUGCUGCCAUCGCUGCCAGUUGGUGAGCUACUUCAUUGCCUUCCCUUGGAGUCCAGGUAGCUCCCACAUCCGCGUCCAGCAGUUGGAAAAUGUCUCUGAUGAUUGCAUCCGCUUCUGCUAUGGGCACUCUAGCCUUGAUGGCUUGAACCAACGUGAUGAUCUUUCCCUGCCAGUUUCUGACGACGACUGCUGAAGCUGCGAUGCCGGUUUCCCUAUGGAAUGCCGCGUCAGUAUUUACCUUCAACCUGUUCUGUGGCGGGGGCCUCCAGUCACGUGGCUGUAGAUGGGAAGGGAUUCCAUCACUUCAUGAAGUUUUGGGCCUCAGUUUGUGGAUCUAAAGAGAAUGAUAUUGUUCUGCCAUAUCAUGAUAGAAACAUGAUUGAAGACCCAAAUGGGCUUAAGCCUAUAUUCUUAGAAACAGUAUGGAAUUCUCCAAGAGAAAGGUUCAUGAGCCUUGGCCACAAGCCCACAACGUUCUUAGCGACAAUAACCAUGUUCGUCUCACGUUUGUUUUGACGCGUGACCAUGUUGAUAAUGUGUUUGAAGAAAUGUGUCUACUAAGUGUCGAAGACAUGGUCUAGAGAUAUCACAUUUGUCAACCUUUGUUGUCACAUGUUCUUUGUUUUGGGUUUGUAAGAUAAAAUUAGAAGAUAUAAAAGUUAAUGAAGUUACCAAUACAAGUUGGCAUAGAUGGAUGAGGAUAUGUGUCUCUUAAUUAUCUCUUUCAGGUUGAAUAUUCAAUGGAGAAUGGGAAUGGAACUUAUUUGCUUGGGAAGGUUGCUUACUUUGCCUCUGCAGUAACCGAGAAAUUAGUAUUUUUAGUGAAGUUGCUACAAUAUGGCACCGUAUGUUGCGGAUUGCAUCUUCACCAAAGUUGCAUGUGUAUGAGACAGAUUUUGGGUGGGGAAAACCCAAAUUGAGUGAAGUAGUUCACCUACAUUCUCAGUUGGUGUCCCUCACUGAUUGUAGGGACAAAGAAGGUGGAAUAAUUGAAGUUGGUGUAGCACUUGGGAGGACUCAAAUCCAUAAAUUCAACACCAUUUUAGAAGAGGAGCUUGCAAAUAUUGUAGUUUGUGACUAAUCAAAUGGCACAAUCUUCGUGGUCAUGUUUUAUUGUUAUAAGUGGAACAAUGUUAUUCGAAUUCUAAUAUUUCGAGACAUGUUUCGGAGAAUUGUAUAACUUCAAUUAUAAAUUCACAAUGUAAGAAAAUUCAUGUCCUUCAUGCUUGGCACUUUUGCUAGAACCAUACCGAAGCACUGGCAAUUUUCACUAUGAUGAUGCUAGAGCGCCGCAUAAUAGUAUAUAUUAGAGUGGUGGACUUAAGAAAUUAAACUGUUAAGUAAAAUUAUUGCCUUAUUGGCCA